rnacentral:tRNA from 1 species
UUCUCAUUAGCUCAAUGGUAGAGCAGUAGUUUCCUAAACUAUUUAUUUUAGUUCAAAUCUAAAAUGGGAAG